UGGGGAAUAUUGCACAAUGGGGGAAACCCUGAUGCAGCGACGCCGCGUGAGCGAAGAAGGUUUUCGAAUCGUAAAGCUCUGUCCUAUGGGAAGAUAAUGACGGUACCAUAGGAGGAAGCCCCGGCUAACUACGUGCCAGCAGCCGCGGUAAUACGUAGGGGGCAAGCGUUGUCCGGAAUCACUGGGCGUAAAGGGUUCGCAGGCGGAAAUGCAAGUCAGUUGUGAAAGGCAGAGGCUCAACCUCUGUAAGCAAUCGAAACUGUAUUUCUUGAGAUGUGGAGAGGCAAGUGGAAUUCCUAGUGUAGCGGUGAAAUGCGUAGAUAUUAGGAAGAAUACCGGUGGCGAAGGCGACUUGCUGGACACAAACUGACGCUGAGGAACGAAAGCGUGGGUAGCAAACAGG
rnacentral:rRNA from 1 species